CUCUGCCUCCCGUGCCUACUGAGCUGAAACACAGUUGGUUUGUGCACACUGGCUCAGUUCAGCAGGAACAGGG
ensembl:miRNA